CCAUGGCUCAGAUACCACUGGGUGGUUAUUUGGAGGCAUAUGCAGAAACCCGCGUACUAUUUCAACACAACAAGCAGCAGGCGAGUCCACGUAUAGGCACAAACAUUAUGACAGUUGCCAGCCUGCUAGAAACAUUUGAGUGACAGAGUAUUGGUCUGACAGAAGUUGAUUAACUCCCUAAUAACAGAUGGGAUUAUUUCAUGUUCAGUUUUAGCUGGGUGCUCGGAGCACCAGGGCCUGUAUGGCCUUUUACAACUGAGAGAGACAAUGUUUUGUGUUCAACCCUCUCUCCCUCCAGGUCAUAAAUGACUUUUUGAAGUGUUUCUGAAUGUUACUGGAGGCAAUUUGAGGACAACAUUAAUUCCAGUUUUCUAUCUUAGCCGUGUGAAUUCAGUAAGAGCAAAAAUAUAUUCUGCAGAUAUUUUUAGGCACUUUCCUACAUAGGAGACACAAACAGCACAGCAUUUGAAACCUCAACCAGUCCUUGAUGAAGAUAAAUACCUUCAGUGGGCUGGAAGAGCAAGCAACUGGAAAACAUUACUGCCAAGGUCAGUAUUAACCUGGAGUCAGAUCCACAGCCUGGUCAAAAGGUCAGAAAUUAGGGAAGAAUUUCUUCUCAGAAAGAGUGGUGAGGCACUGGAAUGGGCUACCCAGGGAGUGGUGGAGUCACUGUCCCUGGUGGUGUUUAAGGAAAGAGUAGAUGUAGAACACGGUUCAGUGGGCAUGGUGGGGAUGGGCUGACAGCUGGACUAGAUGGUCACCUUAGCGAUUCUAUGAAAAAAGGUGGCUGAUGAGGCAGGCAUAGGGUACAGUAGAACCCCAACAAAUGAACAGCCAAACUCUUGGUCGCUCUCAAGUGUGAAGCUCAGUGAGGGUGAAGAAUGUGUCGCUCAUACGUGAGUUUCAGCAGCAUGUAAGCCUCCACUUAGGAAAAAAAAUAAAAUAAAAUAAAAUUGUGGUGGGCAGCCUUAUAAAUGUGCAAUCACAUCUAUGGAGUGGCACACAGGUCACAGCUUGACAAGAAGCAGCAGAGCAGUAUCACACAGACACAGCUCUGCACAGUGCCAGGAGGGAUUUAUGUUCUCACUCUUCUUGCAUGCACUUAGAGCACCAGCACAGAAAACAGAAAGGGAUCCCCAAACCAGAGAAUCAAACAAGGGAGGCGACAGCCUCUUGCUGCAGUGAAGUCUCCUGGAAGCGGUGAGAGCUGGGGGAACGCUUCCAGUCCUUUUGCUUAUGGAGCUUCACCAUGCGCGGCCCCAGCCUGCCUCUCCCUGCCAGGCUUUGUCACUCAAGAGGCAACACCUCACACCUGGAAGGGCACCCCCUGGGCUCGGGGGAGAGACGCUGGGGACCACUCUUGUAGACCUGAGGGUGUCACAGGACAGGAGCUGCUGCCUGCCCUGUGAAUGCUGUGCUCCUGUGCUUUGCCCCAUGUCCUACAGCAGAGAAGGAUCACACGGUGCCAUAGCGCUGGUACAGGCUGAGCCAGCAAACAAAGGCUCCUGUUCCAGGUGUGUCAGCUACAAAGGUCAGCGGGUUUGGUCUGUUUCCUUCUGAUGUGAUCCUGUUCAGAGUGCAAGAUCCUGUUGUCUUCCUGCAGUGCUUAUUCCUGAACGGUAACGUUCAGGAUUGCUGGAGCUCACAGUGCUGAAAAAAAUGUCAAAGUACACUGAGAGUACUGAGCACAGAGGGAAGGAAAAGGUUUUACACGGGAAGGACACGGGUUUUACAUGGGAAGUGUUGUCCCUGCAUCACGGCACUUUGUGCAAGACUCAGAUAAUCAGGUUUGGGUGUGUGUUUGUGUGUGUGUGUGACAGCCCUUCGGGGAAGAAACAGGAUGCCUAACUCUCAGCGCAGAAAAUUACGAACAGAAUACAUGCAAAGCUGAGAGCGGAUAAGAUCUCUGUAAUCUCCUGCUUAAUCUGCUGCCCUCAAGAAAAAUCUGUUGACUUGACACGCGGGCUGGCCUGAGCACACAGCAGCGCGGCGCUGCCCUGGCUGUGCCUGAUAAUUAACGGGCUCGCGUUAUCCGGGCUGCACGGAAUCACUGCAGCCAAACGCUCGCACUCGAAUUGUCCCCACCCGGUGACCUGAGUGGCACAAAAGGGGGGGGGAGGAAUAAAU
ensembl:lncRNA